UUUAUGACAGGGUUCUAAACAGUUUUGAUGAGGUGGGGAAGGAAUUUUAACACCAGGUCUUCUUGAAUGAGGGACCCACGCUCCUGAUGAGAGUCUGAGCUUCAGGUUCUGGUCAUGUUCUGGUCCUUAGGUUCCCUGGGAAGGAGGAUCUUUGGUUCUGCGAUCAUUUCAGUGCCAGCAUGGACCUGAAGCUAAGAAGUCCAGAUAUGCCACAGGCCAGGUUCAAAGGCUCCCAGAGGAAGAAGGACGGCUGGGCCAUGGGAACUGAGCCCUGCCUCCUGCUGCUAAGAGACACACCCUGCCUGCUGGAGGCAUUUAGCUUCUCUCUCCGGAAAUGAAUUAUUCCAAGAAAAGCAUAUGAGAGCAGAGUCUGAAGUCCCACAGAUUUGAAUUUUAAUCCCGCCCUAUCACAGGCUAGCUGGUAAUUACUGUCAUCUGCUUCAAGACUCUUAGUUUCCCGUCAUCAGCCCAGGAGAACAAAUGGAGGAAACGUUUGCAGAGCACCAGCCCCUCCGGGUCUCCAGGACCCAGGCCUCCCAGGUGGGCUUGUCAGUAGGAGGCCUAUGAGCAGCAACACAACUUACAUUCCUGUUGAAUGUGUGCGGUUUGCCAGGGGGAACUUCGCUCAGUGCAUUUUCCUUCAAUUUUUGUAAACUUGUGUAUUUCAGAUGAAAUGUCAUUGUUGGAUGAGAAGACUUAUUUAUAUCACUUAAAAUGCCAUUCUUUAUUCAAAGUAGAAGAAGCCUCUAUAAGCUGUUUUUGUUUGUUUAUAAAUGCUGAAGCAUUUUUUGGGCCAUCAUUACAAUAUUUUUUAUUACUAUUGAUCCUUCCUUGGAAACUUUGUUACUUUGGUUAUUCUUAUUUUUACUGAGGUAUAAUUGACAUAUAACAUCACAUUAGUUUCAGGUGUGCAACUUAAUGAUUC